rnacentral:rRNA from 1 species
UACGGGGGGGGCAAGCGUUGUUCGGAAUUACUGGGCGUAAAGGGCUCGUAGGCGGCCAACUAAGUCCGACGUGAAAUCCCCAGGCUUAACCUGGGAACUGCGUCGGAUACUGGAUGGCUUGAAUCCGGGAGAGGGAUGCGGAAUUCCAGGUGUAGCGGUGAAAUGCGCAGAUAUCAGGAAGAACACCCGUGGCGAAGGCGGCUCUCUGGUACGUGACUGACGCUGAGACGCGAAAGCGUGGGGAGCAAACAGG